CUUCACUCACGCUGAAGAGGGAGGCUCGCUCGGCUGGUGCUAGCACAUGCGCAGAUCAAAUGCACCGCUUGUACGCCGAUUUAAGGUCAUUACGUGUCGUAAUCAUUUCGAAAGAUUGCUCAGAAAACCAGGUGUUUUAAUCCGCGAAUGCUCUCUUGAUUUUGACUUUACGCAGAUUAAAGCUGCAAUAUGUAACUUUUUGGGGACCUGAGCAAAUUCAUGUAGAAAUGUGACUUAUCGAUCUGUCAUUCUCAUCGAAAGCAAGUCUAAGAAAGGUACCUUCAUACAAGGCUUGUGGGCAUCCUAGAUCAAAGUGGAGAACACCAUCGUGUUCACGAGAGUCUCUGGUUUCAAUAGUGGUCAUAAUCGGCCAAACUGUUUGGAUGCUACAGACGUUUUUGUGAGAAGAUCGAUUUUUGGGAAGUCUAUGAUCUGACAAACACCACUGUAGCUCUGCCACCUUUCACCGCAGAUGCGGAAGGGCGAUAUUGGCGGAUGUGGUGGAUUGAGACGCAGGCCCUGCAACAAAAAAAAAACACAUCUCUAUCUAGUGCAUUCUUCCAUCACAUGUGCAGCUGAUUCUCAAGAUCUUGCACACUAAUGAGAUGCUAUUGAGCCCACACUACUACACUGUCUGAGCCAAGGACUACAUGCUUUCUGGGAAAAGCCACGGGCUCUAUCUGAUUUGUGGAGAAAUUUCACUGCAGCUAAUGUAGAAGGAAAAGCUGUGUACAUUUGCUAAUACUGUGAAAAAUCAUAUGUGAAGAAUGCAACAGAGAUGAGAAUCAUCUGGCCAAGUGCAUAAAGUUCCCUCCACUCACAAACAAACAAGCUCUGACAAAAGUCCCUCUACUUCUAUUCGAGGUGAAAAUGAUGAAUCAGACACCUUAUCGAUAGCAACAGCUCAGGGUCCUCCUGGAAUCCAUUUUUUUUUUACUCAAUGGAGGAACGUAGUCAGAGAUGCUGAUGAAUGUUUUGCUCGAGCUGUGUAUGCAACUGGUUCACCUCAAGCUCACAGGCAAUGUGUAUUGGAAGAGAUUUCUGAAUGUUCUUCGCCCAGCAUACACCCCUCCAACCAGACAUGCUUUAUCUACUCAUUUGCUGGAUGCAGAGUUCAAGUGAAGGUCAAGCAAAUCAUAGAGAAAGCACACUGUAUUGCAAUCAUCUCUGAUGGGUGGUCGAAUAUUCGUGGGCAAGGAAUAAGUAACUACAUCUCCACCCCUGAACCAGUAUUCUACAAGAGUACAGACAUAAGGGACAACAGACACACCAGUCCCUACAUUGCAGAUGAGCUGAAGGAAGUCAUCAAUGACCUUGGAACACAGAAGGUAUUUGCACUGGUGACAGACAAUGCUGCGAACAUGAAGGCCGCUUGGUCGAAAGUGGAGGAGACCUACCCUCACAUCACACCCAUUGGCUGUGCUGCUCAUGCAUUGAUUCUGAUUCUCAAGGACAUCAUGGCACUGAAAACAAUGGAUACACUCUACAAGAGAUCCAAGGAAAUGGUUAGGUAUGUGAAGGGUCAUCAAGUUAUAGCAGCAAUCUACCUCACCAAGCAAAGUGAGAAGAAUAAGAGCACCACAUUGAAGCUGCCCAGCAACACCCGUUGGGUUGUGUUGUCAUCAUGUUUGACAGUCUCCUUGAGGGGAAGGAGUCUCCAUGGAAUGGCCAUAUUACAGUCUGCCCAUAUGGACAGCCCCAUCAAGAGGAUCCUCCUGGAUAAUGUAUUUUGGGAGAGAGUGGUAAGCAGCCUGAAACUCCUGAAACCUAUAGCAGUAGCCAUUGCACGGAUUGAGGGAGACAAUGCCAUCCUGUGAUGUUCAGACUGCUUGCAGAUGUAAGAGAAUAAAUCUGUACUGCCCUGCCCAGUUCAGUGUUGCUCCAAGCAGAGGAUACGGCAGUUCUGAAAUGCAUCAAAAAGCGUCUGGCGAACUACACUUCCAAGCAAGGGCUUUGGGAUGGAGAUGCAAUAUGGGAGUCGUGCCAACAUAUCUCAUCAGCCACCUGGUGGCAGGGACUUUGUUGAUCUGAGGCUCUUUUCUCUUUUGCCUCCAUCAUCCUCCAAAUCCCACCAACAUCACCCGCCUCAGAGCGCAACUGGUCCUUUUUUGGGAACACACACACCAAAGCACACAACAGUCUGACCAAUACUAGUGUUGAAAAAUUGGUGGCCAUCCGGGCAAUUUUGAGGCUUUUUGAGCCUGACAACGAGCCAUCCUCAACAAGGUUGGAAGAUGAGGCCUCACAGUCUGAUGUUCAAGAGGUGGACAUUGAGGAGGUCCAGGGAGAAGAGAGGAACACAACCAAAGCUUUAGUUUCUGGACUAUAAUUUUACAGAUGUAUGUUAAAUGUUUUUGGGAGAUGCGAUGGAUCAUUAUUCCCUUAUCAGUAUUCCCUUUUUGUUGUUCAGUGAAAUCUUCCCAUGUGAAGUGUCAACUCAUUUAAAGUUCAGUUUGUAACUAAAUGUUUUUUUUUUUCUAUUGGAAUGAUUUAAUCAUUUGCAAUUAUGUCUACUUAUAGUAAGGUAAAAGGUUUCUGUCUCCAUAUGAUAUAAAAACCUCUACAUUUUAAAUGGUAUCUUAAUAUGAAUUGCAUAUAUUCUCUGUAAAGUUUCCACUUCUGAAUAUUCCCCAAAAUGUGCAACCUAUCUUAAACAGAUGGAUUUUUAAAAUUAUGUUAAUUAUAUUUCAAGUCUUUAAAAGUAAGAGAAACAAUGAUUUUCAAAACCUGCAAUUAGGGAGGGUAUUUUUUUCCCCCAUAUCACUGCAAAUCUGUUUGAAAAUGACUUGACGCACUUGAUUUAUUUUUUUCUUCCUACAACUUACAAAUGUGCCGUUUUCACACACAGACACUGGUUUGAUUCUGGAGAUACUGAAUAUUAGAUUAAAAAAGGCGACUCAGCAACCUUUCAAUCUGACUAUCCACAAUACUCAUUAUUGUGUGCAUGUAACCCUACUCACUAAAAAACUGUGGGUAACGUUAUAUCCUCCUGUAUGUGACUCGAUAGACAUUCUCUGUUGCGGACACAUUUCUAGUAACAUGGCAGUGUUCAUAACCUUGCCAGACUAUUAGCUUUUUUUGCCUGAGUGGUUCAUUUAAUUUAUUUCCCCCCAAAAUUCUGUUCUCUCUGUUUUGUUGCUUCAGGUUUUUUACUGUCAAUCACUUGUUUAAUAAAAAAAACAACACUUGCUUAAACCAAA
rnacentral:lncRNA from 1 species